UAGCAGGAGCUUUCCAGUUCCUAGGCCUAAGCAAUGUAGAAAUAAUCUUUUUAUGCAAGCCCUGAGGAGACUUUUGCCUGGUGAACUUUUUGGCAGCAUAUGUUGUGUCAUUGUUCACAGGAACCAUCCUUCUGCUUUCAUUUUCAAAUUGAUCUAGUGACAACUGCCUCACAAUCCCACCGAGGUUCCCCACAACCUCUUUAGCUACCACAACAGCUCUAGGAUGAAGGCGAACAUCAGCCUCAGCAUCACUACCAUCUGAACUUGCUUCUGCAGCCUGCGAGUUAUCGUCAGAUACAGAUGUCUCUUCAGCAGAAUUGGAAGAUGCUGCCUGAGCAGCUUGCCAAACAGCAUUAGCUGCCUCAGCUUCAGCAGCAGAAGCCUCCCUAAGUUUCUCCAUAGAAUUUUUAUCCAUACUGAUACCACCAGAAAAAGGGACCUCUUGCCCAUCAUUUGCAAUUGCUUCAUAGGGAUUAGCGUUAGAAUGAUUUAGUCUAGGACUUGUUAUAGUUGAGGCUUGCUCAGAUGUUAAUACAGGAGAAUUAAUGUCCGACUGAAAUGGUGAAUUUUCAGCGACUAGAAAAUCAUCUAGCAGCACAUCUCCCCUCAGACCGCCAUAAACAUAUAUUCGAACACCAACAGAAGCAGAUGCAUGGCGACAACG
rnacentral:misc_RNA from 1 species